GGGCGCAUAGCUCAGCUGGGAGAGCACUUGCCUUACAAGCAAGGGGUCACAGGUUCAAGCCCUGUUGCGCCCACCA
rnacentral:tRNA from 1 species